rnacentral:rRNA from 1 species
UUGUAAGUGUGUNAGGGCGCAUGGUGGAUGCCUUGGCAUUNGGGGCCGAUGAAGGACGUGGGAGGCUGCGAUAUGCCUCGGGGAGCUGUCAACCGAGCGUGGAUCCGAGGAUGU